GACGAACGCUGGCGGCGUGCCUAAUACAUGCAAGUAGAACGCACAGUAUAUACCGUAGCUUGCUACACCAUAGACUGUGAGUUGCGAACGGGUGAGUAACGCGUAGGUAACCUGCCUGGUAGCGGGGGAUAACUAUUGGAAACGAUAGCUAAUACCGCAUAAUAUUGAUUAUUGCAUGAUAAUUGAUUGAAAGAUGCAACUGCAUCACUACCAGAUGGACCUGCGUUGUAUUAGCUAGUAGGUGAGGUAACGGCUCACCUAGGCGACGAUACAUAGCCGACCUGAGAGGGUGAUCGGCCACACUGGGACUGAGACACGGCCCAGACUCCUACGGGAGGCAGCAGUAGGGAAUCUUCGGCAAUGGACGAAAGUCUGACCGAGCAACGCCGCGUGAGUGAAGAAGGUUUUCGGAUCGUAAAGCUCUG
rnacentral:rRNA from 1 species